rnacentral:tRNA from 1 species
GGCGGCGUAGCUCAGUAGGUAAGAGCACAAGGCUCAUAAUCGUGGGGUCGUCGGUUCGAGUCCGACCGCCGCUA